UAUAUUCAAACAGUAGGUUUUAAUAUACAAUUUGGAUUUUUGGGUGAAAUCCGAUCUUUUUGUGGGCUCGUUCAUAUUACAAAUUAAAUGCGACUUCUAUCAGUUUUGAGUAUGAACUGAAUGUGACCCUGAAGUGACCCACAGGCAUAAAAGAGGUUCUGAUUUCAUACUUGACACACACACACACACAC